GGUAAAAUAAGAGAGAUAUUCAUUAUAAACUAUAGAAGCAAAAAUUACUGCUCCCUAAAGUGGUAAUUCUGGGUCUCUCUACUCCAGACAGGAGAGGUAAAGGAGACUUCUGAGGACCACCAUGAUGGAUUUACCACCAUUUUCAUUUGAAUUGUAUUAAUCCUUAGAAAAAUAUUAGCUAAAAUGCUUGAGAGACCCCUCUAAACACUGUAGGAAUUCCUUGGUCCGUAUUCUCUUCUUUUAAAACUGUAUUCUCAUUCCAUACUUUUCACUUGCUUUUCCCACCCUUCUUUUGACCUCCCUCCUUUGUCCAACUCAACAUUUCAUCUGGGCAUUCAUAUUUUGAGAAACCAUUAUGCCCACUUCUUAGCCUGUUACUUAAGACUCUAAAACCUGGCCAUUUUGGUUCUCUAAAUUUAUUCCUACUUGUUCCCUUCCACAAAUGCUCUGCUCGAGGCAAAUGAGGCACCUACUUCCCCUGAAUGCCUGCACUUGCCCAAACCAAUACCUGGUGUUCAUAAAUCAGUCACCAUGGACCCACAACUGUAAACAGACUAGCACACAUGAAACACAUUGAGUUUCACAGGUGACACCGUACUGAAUUUCAUAGGGAGAGCUUGAGAAAUCAUAUCCCUUUUUAAAAAUUAAAGAGGCUUGGGUAAGAGAGAUCCAGCAAGCAAAUAGCAAAGUAGGAAGGAAGGAAAUGCUUCUGUAGUGGAUGUGGGAAGGAGGGAUCUAUCCACAGGAAGAUAUUCUCCAGAGGAGAAAAAACACUGACUAAAUCCAAGAAGGAAAUGUAUCGGCUGCCAUAUUACCUGUGUGUUCCUUGUUUCCCCCCUGGUAUGGUCUGUUCCUGAUUGUUUCUUGUUAAGCCCAUGGUCCUCCAAGCAGCCAGAGGUGAGGAAAAGGGAGGACACCAUGCUAUACACUCAGCAGGGGUGUCCAUGGACUUUUCUUCUCAGAUUUUCCUUCAAGUUACCCUCAAAGUUAAGAGAGAUUCAAAAGAUUCACCUAGACAGAAUAGGAGAAGCUGCCUAUAAGAGAAACAUUUCAGGUUAGCUCUCAACAUGUGUUACCUGAGGAAAGGGACAGUAAGAAUGGAAAAGUGUCUACUGGGACAAAGACAGAAAAUGUCUUGUCCUGGUGACCAUCUGAGCAGGGAGUAGAAAGGGCUGGAGUUGGAGUUGGUGAAUUCAGGGCUGGCCAGUGCCUGUAACUGUCUUUAGUUCUAUGGAAUGAGAAAAGGUGAGAAUCCCCUCUGCUGUUCCACAAGCUGGACGUCGGUCAGAGCUGUCUGGCUCCAGCACCCCGAGGGAUGGACCGACAUGCUGACCCCCACCCCUGCCGGGGGGCCCUGGCAGCCACCCUCAGUCUCUCCCACGGUGACGACAAUAUCUCUGACUGCUUUGGCGUGGUGCCAUGGACACGAACUGUUCCUCCUUUGUCCAAACGAGGAAUAUGAUCUUCAGAACCCCUGGAGAAUUAUUAUCUAAAACACCAGAGGAUACACUAGGAUUUUGGCAGUCAGCAUUCUGGGCUUGUACAGGAAAACUCCCUCUUUAGAAUAUUUAGAAAGAAUAUCCUUCAUUUAUCCAACGUGGAAACAGUCCUGAAAUCCAAGCUGGUGCUAAGAUUCUGUGCCAGGUUAUUACUGUGACAAUUACUUAAUAUUCUCUGUGCUCACGGUAUCGCUCCUUCCAGAAGAUCUUUAGGGAAAACUUAGUUCAGUUUCUAGGAGGUUUUUGCUGAGCUGAAGAUCACUGUGUGAAUAAUAAUGCGGGCAGCAAGCUCACAUUUGGAGGGGGAACAAGGUUAAUGGUCAAAUCCUCUAUUCAGAACCCUGACCCUGCCGUGUACCAGCUGAAAAGCCCUGAAUCCAGUAACAUCUCUGUCUGCCUGUUCACUGAUUUUGAUUCGGAAGUCAAUGUGAAACCAUCCACAGAGUCCAACAUGAUUAGAUUGAAAAGUACUUCACUGGACAUGAAGACUAUGGAUUCCAAGAGCAACGGGGCCCUGGCCUGGAGCAACAGCUUUGAUUUGGGAUGCAACAGUACCUUCAACUACACCUUCCACUCCAGCUCAGAAUUUCCCUGUGAUGCCAAUGUGGUAGAGAAAGGCUUUGAAACAGAUAUGAACCUAAAUUCCCACAACCUGAUAGUGAUCAUGCUCCGCAUCAUCUUCCUGAAGGUGGUUGGCUUUAACCUGCUCAUGACGCUGAGGCUGUGGUCCAGCUGAGGUCGCCAAGAAUGUGAGAGCCCAGCGCUCCCCUGCUCCUCCCACACCUUCUCCCCCUCUUCAAGAAGAUAGGCACACUCUCUGCCCCCAUGGAGAAUAAGGUUCCCUCCACCUCUCUGGUCCCACUGGCAACGCCACUGACCGAACCCUAGCAGACAUUUGUGAUCAAGAUGCUGAAGAGCUGCCAAACACCGCUGCCACACCCUCUGUCCCCUCAUCGCUGCUUGUCACUGCCUGACACUCCCGGCAAAGGAGCUGCUGCUGUGACCUCACCUGGCUGGGGAGAAACUCCCCGACCUUCCCCUGAGACUGCCCAUAUGUCCCCUGGAUGAGGGAUCCCCAGUGGGUCCUCUCGGGCUCUAGCUCCUGGAGAAUGUUGUGAGGAGUUUAUAUAUUUUAAAUUAUGUUCAUAAAGGAAUAACACAUCACACUUGUCCCCAAGAUGUGAGGAAAAUUAUUAUCUAGGCCCUGCUGUGCUGUGUAUCUGAGCCACAUUGUAUAUUCUGCUACCCAUGACUUCAUUAAAGGCGAUUGAAAGAGCA